CCUUAUGCACAUUCCAUGAUCGAAUGUUCUAAACACACUUCCUACUGGCGUGGCAAUUUCCGGUGGCGCAUACUAUAGAACGGAAGUCAGUCUAGUUGUUAUCGACGUUACUACCACUAUGUCACAGUUUUUUACUAUGUGUCUUCAGGACUUGCCUCAAAUUAAUAUUAAUGAUGUACAUCGAAUUGUUAAAUCAGCCUCAGACUCCAGCUAGCAAGAAUGAAAAGGGGUUCAAGAUGUAUAUAGGAAGCUACAUAGACAACUAUGAAGAUGGUGUUAAAGCACUCCGUACCAGUGAUAGUGGUCCAUAGCCACUGCUCCUGUGUUGCAGGAAGUUUUAUGUGCAAUCAUCUGGUGGCCCUUCUUUACCAGACAGCGCACUACUCUCAACUAAACAUUCCUGCUGCACCACCAGUUCACAGCUGCACAGACACAGAACAGUGUUGGCACAAGCCAAUAUUCAUAAAAAAUACACUUGAAAAGUAUUCAGCCUAUGUUACAGUAAAUCCUUGUUAAUUAGGGUGUGAAGCCAGGUCCGGUUGAUGGGAUAGACUUCUGUAAACCUACUAACUCAUGUGCUGAAGGAAUAAGAAGUUCUCUACAAAGCACUCAAUGGAUACAUGCCUGACAUGGACCUUCUCAGAAACGUAUUCCAACUUUUCUCCACUUACUGCCCCUCUUGUGACAACAAUGGAAAUGUCAGCUGACAUGCCCCUGGUUGAGUCUGCCUUUGGGCCAGUGCAAGCUGGCAGUGUGCUGUCCUGUCAACUUCCACAGCCAAAGACCCAUGAAAUUGUGAAGAUUGCCGAUGCCCCUUCUCCAAUACUUCCAUUUGAUGGCUUCAGUCUUCCCAGUGUGCUUACGUCCUUAGCCAUCAGAAGCAGUUCCACGUCAAGGCAUUAGAGACAACCUACGAGAUGUCACACAAAGUCAAGGUACAAGGUCAAGGUGCUACAAGGGAGCAGAGCAGCAGGGCAUCAGCUCAGGAAAAUGAGAAUAACAUCCUCUUGUUUCCGAGAGGUUUGCCAUGUCCGGGGAGAGAGCACAGCUGACCUCCUAGCUGAGCGGAUGUUCAAGGGAUCUGGUAUGCAGACCAUGGAGAUGAAGGGGGCUAGCCAUGGAGCCAGUGGCUGUACAGGAGUACUGCACACUGAAUAAUGUUAACUUCUUUCCAUGUGGCUACGUAGUGCACCCAAAUGCUCCGUGGUUAAGAUCCUCUCCAGAGGGCAUCAUAUUUGAUCCCAGUGUGAGACUACACUUUGGACUCUUCGAGGUCAAGUGCCCAAAUGUACCAAGUUAUGUUGAGUGCCCUUACCUGAAGAUAUAGAAUGGAGAGCUGAAGUUGAAGAGAUCUCAAGCUUACUACUGGCAGGUGUAAGGUCAAAUCCUUCUCACAGGUUGUAGCUGGUGUGACUUUGUCAGCUGUGCACAGGAGGACAUCCUAGUUGAAAGGAUGUAUAAAGAUCUACAGGUUUCAAAAACUAUAAGAGAGAAGGUUGACCACUUUUAUUUUUACCACUACUUGCAGAAGUGUCUCUCGCACCUGAAUGGAUCCCCUGCAUGGGUGCCAAGUUUAGUGGUUUCAUGAAAAAUAAGUAUUGAUGUUCUUGUGAAAACUACAGUAGAAUAGAUUUGUUUAAAAUAAAUCUAUUUCAGCAAAUGUUCAACAGUUCAGUUAAUCAAUUACACAUAAUCUAACAUUGUAUUCAAUCUUGCAUUCUGGCUGUACUGUGUUUACUUGAUUUCUUUCCCCCACCCCUGUCACUCAUUGCCUAAUUAAAGCCAAUAUAAGCUCCACACAAACUGAGAUUCACUACCACACAAAUGAUUGAUACAUGUCGUAGAUAAACAAAUUAUUAUUUUGCUGCUAGAAAAUAAACACAUGUACAUUUACACUGGCUUGGCCCAUGCUCUGACCAAAGGUCCGAUUUGAUAGUUGACCAACAGGCAUGCCACUGCAAAUAAAUGGCUGAUGCUGCCUGAGAUGGUGCUUGUGUUACUUUACUCUGCAGAUCAUUCUUUCAACAUGCACUCUCAGCCUGGCAAUGGAUUGGGUCUCCCUAACCUCAUGCGCUGGCAUCUGUGUGCGUCUUGACAGAAAGGCUGGCUGGUAGACCUUGCACUGAACAAUGUCAUCUACGAGGAAGCCCUCCACUAUAAUGGCCAUGUCAGGGGUGAGUAAGGAAAUAAUUCCAGACUGCUUGAAGAUCUCCUUGUCACUCAUAGAUCCAGCAUACAACAAUGACACAAAAGUGACAGCUCCAUGUGGUGACAUUCCCAACAUGCCCUUAAAGGUACAGUGUGUCUUGUAGGAAGAAAACACCUCACUCUGCAGUAGGAGUAAAGAUGGUGUCUGCCAGCGGAGUUCAGUGCAGUCGAUCACUACCUGGGUGUCUGGAUAGUCCUUGAACUCAGGUGGCCUUUGAUGGUUUCCUUGGGGAUCCAUAUCCGUGCUGAGCCAAGCAGACAGAGCAAGAAUACUAAUGUCGAUUGAUGGAUGCUGAACCAAUGGGCCAAAUCCUUCUGCUUCAGACCCAGUGACAGAUGAGUCAUAAACAAGAAGAACUUGUCGAUUGAUGGCAGUGAUGACUGUUUUAGUACAAUACAGUCCUUAUAUUCGAUCCAUAACAAAAAGUAAAUAAUGUUUAACAAUUACAGUAAGAUCAAAUCAUAUCUUAAGUAUUUAAUGAAGUUGUCCCUUACCGGUUUUCUUAGAGGUACACUUGUUUCAGAUGGAUUGGUGCUUGUGACUCUUAUAAACUUGGUUUCUGCUGCCCGCUCAAUCAAGUGCCAGAAGGCCAUCAGGUGGGUGUAGCUUGCAAAUCUAAAGACAGACCCAGAGUAUUUGAAUACCACAAAAGCUCAUUACUAUUCUUGCCCAUCUUCUCUAAGCAUCAAGUAGCACUAGACAUGACCUAGCUGCUAUUGUAGCCUGUUUUUCUUGUUACUGCAAUUCGUACUGUAAUUCACAGCAGUGAAUUUGUUUUAAGUGUUCCAUUAUUUAACCUGGGAAGUGGACUAAGAAUCAAAUCUUAUUUGCAGCAAUGACCUAGGAGUAUUUUUGGAGGUUAACUGAAACCUAAUGCCUCGUUUUAAAUAACAAUGAACAUGUUCUUAAAGUUAAGAUGGACUUUGGGAUAAUAAUAAUUCAUAGUAAAUAAUAAACAAUAGUAAUGUUGGAUAAUAACAAAUCAUUACUGUACCUUGUGUAAAAACGUAUAUCCUUGUCAGCUCACUGGUCACCAUAGCAGCACCCACCCAUAGCACGCGCUCCAGCAGGUAUAUCUCACUGGUCACCCCCAAAGCCAAUUCUUCCUUUGGCCGCCUCUCCUUCCAGUUCUCUGCUGCCAAUGACUGGAACUAACUGCAAAAAUCACUAAAGCUGGAGACUCUUACCUCCCUCACUAGCUUUAAGCACCAGCUGUCAGAGCAGCUCACAGAUCACUGCACCUGUACAUAGCUCAUCUGUAAACAGCCCAUCCAAUCUACCUCAUUCCCAUACUGUAUUUAUUUAUUUAUCUUGCUCCUUUGCACCCCAGUAUCUCUACUUGCACAUUCAUCUUCUGCACAUUCUACCAUUCCAGUGUUAAAUUGCUAUAUUGUAAUUACUUCGCCACCAUGGCCUAUUUAUUGCCUUACCUCUCUUAUCCUACCUCAUUUGCACAUACUGUAUAUACAUUUUUAUACUGUAUUAUUGAUUGUAUGUUUGUUUAUUCCAUAUGGAACUCUGUUGUUGUAUGUGUCGAACUGCUUUGCUUUAUCUUGGCCAGGUCGCAGUUGCAAAUGAGAACGUGUUCUCAACUAGCCUACCUGGUUAAAUAAAAACAUUUAAAUGAAAGAACCAGCAAAUCGCUGUCGACCAAAGCUGUGUUGGGCGGUCAGUUUCUUUUUCUGAUCUCUACAUCGACCGGGAAGCUAUAGAAGCUCACAAUACGAUUAGAUUUGGAAGAAACUGAA